rnacentral:rRNA from 1 species
GGACGAGCGUUGUCCGGAAUGACUGGGCGUAAAGGGCGCGUAGGCGGUUUAUUAAGUCUGAUGUGAAAGGUACCGGCUCAACCGGUGAAGUGCAUUGGAAACUGGUAGACUUGAGUAUUGGAGAGGCAAGUGGAAUUCCUAGUGUAGCGGUGAAAUGCGUAGAUAUUAGGAGGAACACCAGUGGCGAAGGCGGCUUGCUGGACAAAUACUGACGCUGAGGUGCGAAAGCGUGGGGAGC